rnacentral:rRNA from 1 species
AUUGAACGCUGGCGGCAGGCCUAACCCAUGCAAGUCGAACGAGCGGCGGACGGGUGAGUAAUGUAUGGGGACUGCCCGAUAGAGGGGGAUAACUACUGGAAACGGUAGCUAAUACCGCAUACUAUCGGAUACCCCCUAUGGGAUUAGCUAGUAGGUGAGGUAAUGGCUCACCUAGGCGACGAUACCUAGCUGGUCCGCGAGGAGGAUCAGCGACGCUGGAACUGAGAAACGGCCCAGACUCCUACGGAGGCAGCAGUGGGGAAUAUUGCACAAGGGGCGCAAGCCUGAUGCAGCCAUGCCGCGUGUAUGAAGAAGGCCCUAGGGUUGUAAAGUACUUUCAGUCGGGAGGCGGUACCGACAGAAGAAGCACCGGCUAACUCCGUGCCAGCCGCCGCGGUAAUAC